rnacentral:rRNA from 1 species
UACGGAGGAUCCGAGCGUUAUCCGGAUUUAUUGGGCUUAAAGGGUGCGUAGGCGGCCUAUUAAGUCAGGGGUGAAAGACGGUAGCUUAACUAUCGCAGUGCCUUUGAUACUGAUAGGCUUGAAUAUACUUGAGGUAGGCGGAAUGUGACAAGUAGCGGUGAAAUGCAUAGAUAUGUCACAGAACACCAAUUGCGAAGGCAGCUUACUAAAGUAUGAUUGACGCUGAGGCACGAAAGCGUGGGGAUCAAACAGG